UAUUGGGCAAUGGGCGCAAGCCCGACCCAGCAACGCCGCGUGAAGGAAGAAGUCUUUCGGGUNGUAAACUUCUUUUAUCAGGGACNNCGNNNGNGACGGUACCUGAUGAAUAAGCCACGGCUAACUACGUNNNAGCAGCCGCGGUAAUACGUAGGUGGCGAGCGUUAUCCGGAUUUACUGGGUGUAAAGGGCGUGUAGGCGGGAAUGCAAGUCAGAUGUGAAAACUAUGGGCUCAACCCAUAGCCUGCAUUUGAAACUGUAUUUCUUGAGUGCUGGAGAGGCAAUCGGAAUUCCGUGUGUAGCGGUGAAAUGCGUAGAUAUACGGAGGAACACCAGUGGCGAAGGCGGAUUGCUGGACAGUAACUGACGCUGAGGCGCGAAAGCGUGGGGAGCAA
rnacentral:rRNA from 1 species